GUGCUCACUUCAGCAGCACAUAUACUAAAAUAGGAACGUAAAGAGAA
rnacentral:snRNA from 1 species